rnacentral:rRNA from 1 species
AUGAUGGAUAUAAUGGGCAUUACAGAGGAAGGCUUGAAAGGAAGAUAUCUUGGGCUGCCAGCAUAUGUUGGAAAAUCAAAGUCCAAAACCUUUCAGUAUAUUAAAGAAAAAGUGUGGGGAAAGAUACAGGGUUGGAAAGAGAAACUUCUAUCAAAAGCAGGGAAAGAAAUCCUAAUUAAAGUAGCAGCCCAAGCAAUGCCAGUAUACACUAUGACCUGUUUUGAUCUAACAAAAAAUCUUUGUGAUGAGCUUAGCUCCAUGAUAUGCAAAUUCUGGUGGAGCCAGAUGGAUAAAGUUAACAAAAUACACUGGACAUGUUGGGAGAAGCUUUCUAAACCGAAGAGAGUGGGUGGACUAGGAUUUAGGGACCUUCAUGCUUUCAAUAUGGUCAUGCUUGCUAAACAAGGAUGGCGCCUACUUCAGAACCCGUCAUCAUUGUGUGCCCAAAUACUGCAAGCUAAAUAUCACCCAGGAAGCAGCAUACUUGAAGCUAUGCCAAGGAAGGGAAUUUCGUAUGCAUGGCACAGUAUUUUGAAAGGAGUGCAACUUCUGAAAAAGGCAUAA